UACGUAGGGGGCAAGCGUUGUCCGGAUUUAUUGGGCGUAAAGAGCGUGUAGGCGGCUAGGUAGGUCCGUUGUGAAAACUCGAGGCUCAACCUCGAGACGUCGAUGGAAACCAUCUAGCUAGAGUCCGGAAGAGGAGAGUGGAAUUCCUGGUGUAGCGGUGAAAUGCGCAGAUAUCAGGAAGAACACCCGUGGCGAAGGCGGCUCUCUGGGACGGUACUGACGCUGAGACGCGAAAGCGUGGGGAGCGAACAGG
rnacentral:rRNA from 1 species